UGUGGGGCUUAGUGGUAGAGCACUUGCUUAGCAUGCACAAGGCCCUGGGUUCGGUCCCCAGUGUUACAA
rnacentral:tRNA from 1 species